CCUCCUUUUCCCCAGGCUGAGCCCCUUUCCCAGCUCCCUCAGCCUCUCCUGGUGCUCCAAACCCUUCCCCAGCUUUGCUCCAAAAUAAAUCCUUCAACCAGUUCAAGCCAGGCGUGUGCCUCACGCACCGGUUUGCACGGAGACCUCAGCCACACUUGGAAAGUCAGUGCUUGAGGUGUGUUCACCUGCUGAGUCACAGGAGCGCCUCACUAAAGCCCGUCUGAGCAGAAACAAGCUACCAACUCCUGCUGAAAGGCCAGAGCUGCUUUGAGUAGCAACGGCAACUGAGAGGCUUCUGAACAUAGGAGCUGUAGAACUGCUCUGCACCUGAACAAUCACCCCUGAGAAUCAACUCUUCGGGAGUCCAAGACAAGAAUUAAACUCUGAUUAGCA